GUGGUGUUUUCUUUUUGAAUUUCCCACAAGAGGAGAGGGAAUUAAUAAUACAUCUGCAAAGAAAUUUCGGAGAAGAAAAGUUGACCGCGGCAGAAUGAGGCAUUGAUUGGGGGAGAGAAGCCAGCAGAGGACAGUUGGAUUUGUGCCUAUGUUGACUAAAAUUGACGGAUAAUUGCAGUUGGAUUUUUAUUCAUCAACCUCGUUUCUCCCCCCACCCCCGCCUUUUUUUUUUCUUUUUGGUGUCAAGAUCAUGCGUUUUUCCGCUUGUUCUUAACCACCUGGAUAUCCAUCUGGAUGUUGCUGUGAUCAGUCUGAAAUACAAUUGGCAAACACACUGCCUGUUUACAGCACGGAGGCCACAAUGGAGAGCUAGAUUAUUUGAACUCCAGAAGGAC
rnacentral:lncRNA from 1 species